CACGUAGGGCGCGAGCGUUGUCCGGAAUUAUUGGGCGUAAAGAGCUCGUAGGCGGCCUGUUGCGUCCGCUGUGAAAGCCCGGGGCUUAACCCCGGGUCUGCAGUGGAUACGGGCAGGCUAGAGGUAGGUAGGGGAGAACGGGAAUUCCCGGUGUAGCGGUGAAAUGCGCAGAUAUCGGGAGGAACACCGGUGGCGAAGGCGGUUCUCUGGGCCUGUACUGACGCUGAGGAGCGAAAGCGUGGGGAGCGAACAGG
rnacentral:rRNA from 1 species